GAUAAACAAAGGUAUGAGCAACCCUAUGUUGCAGCUGUUAAUAGCCAAAAUCUUGUGGCCAUCUCCCCCACGAGGCGCCUCCAGGAUCUUGCGCCAAAACGGGCACUGUACGUAGCCCAGGGCCACCAGAACUAGCGGAUCGGCCAUAAACGUCACCGUGCAGCCCUUGGCCAUCACCAGUAGAGAAAAAUUACGCCGUGGUUGAAGCGUUCGAACCACCAUAGUCGUGAUUGAAUUGAUAGAAACAUCACUGUGCCAAGCGACUGUAUCUGCCGCAAAUUUGACAUUGUGUUCGAGGAUGAAACCCACGACCACUGCGUGACCCAGCUGUGGAAUGCGCACCACGCGGAUUUGAGUCGGCCGCCGCAACCAAAAGAGAACCAUGUGAGCAAGCAUCGGAACAUCAUGCGCCACUCUCGUCUGUCGAUUUUCAAAUUCCAAUAGAAUGUCAACUAAUUUCUGGAAAGGCAACGUCUCAGACAAAAAUGAGGCCAACGUGAGCACCGUGUCAAAGUCAAUGGAGAGGCCGACUAGGAGAACCUCCACCUUUUCAGCCUCCAAAACAGCAGAACUAAAAGCCACAAGUAACGCACAAAUAUCUUGAAUUUUGGUAAUGUAUUCUUUUACAGUUAAAUCACCUUUCUUGAUAGAAUGUAGGCCAUGGCGAACACGAGACACCUUCACACCAGUGGAAGCUGCAAAAAGAUGAUUCGCAGUGCUCUAGAUAUCACAAGUAGAUUUAGCAGUGAUAAAAUAGGAUAACAAAGACGUACUAAUCUUAGAUAGGAGCCAAGAGGCCAACAACUUAUCUUGUUGAGUAAACAAAGAUGCAUUUGUAUUCGGAGUAAGACUACCAUCAGAAGACGCCACAAAUCUAGGCAGAGCAGUUAACGUGCCCUCCAGAAACCCUUGCAACUCAUAUCCUUCUAUAAUGAGUCGAACAUGAUGCUGCCAUUGAACAAAGUUUCCCUCAUCUAGCUUCACUGUAUCAUGAUGAGGAAACGAUUGAACCAAUCGUGCACUGGAAAAAGAUGAACUGGUUGGAUCAGCAACAGCAGAAUCUGUGGAAUAAGCCAUGAAUCGACUACGGAAGCUUGCACCAGGAACUAGGCGACUGAUACCAUGUUAGGUGUAUUCGAUUCCCUUCGUUCAAUGAUUUCGAAAUAGUUAAAGGGUAGUGUAAGUGUGGAAGCUAGUGAGAUUUAGUACCGUAUUAAUUUCGUUUAAAUAUGCUGAUUUGGCCGAUUAUUCUAAGGAGUUAUUAAUUGUUUUAGCUACUAGUUUUUGAUAUAAAAUUAUCGUAGGUGCUGAUUGUAACAUCCUGAUUCAACAGUAAGCCGAAACCUAUUUGCACUCUCGCUUGCUCAUUUUUUAAAUUAUUAGAGAUAAUUUGCUCCA